rnacentral:rRNA from 1 species
AUUGAACGCUGGCGGAAUGCUUUACACAUGCAAGUCGAACGGCAGCACGGGGGCAACCCUGGUGGCGAGUGGCGAACGGGUGAGUAAUACAUCGGAACGUGCCCAAUCGUGGGGGAUAACGUAGCGAAAGCUACGCUAAUACCGCAUACGAUCUACGGAUGAAAGCGGGGGAUCGCAAGACCUCGCGCGAAUGGAGCGGCCGAUGGCAGAUUAGGUAGUUGGUGGGGUAAAGGCUCACCAAGCCGACGAUCUGUAGCUGGUCUGAGAGGACGACCAGCCACACUGGGACUGAGACACGGCCCAGACUCCUACGGGAGGCAGCAGUGGGGAAUAUUGGACAAUGGGCGGAAGCCUGAUCCAGCAAUACCGCGUGUGUGAAGAAGGCCUGAGGGUUGUAAAGCACUUUCAAUAGGAAGGAAUACCUAUCCAUUAAUACUGGGUAGACUGACAUUACCUAUACAAGAAGCACCGGCUAACUCCGUGCCAGCAGCCG